GUGAAUCAUCAAAUCUUUGAACGCAAAUUGCGCUUCCUGGCAUCCCGGGGAGUAUGCCUGUUUGAGGGUCAUUAUUAACAAAAAAUCGGUUGGUUUGCAAAUUGUGACGUUUCCGGCGUUUGGACUUUAUUAACUUUGUUGGUUAAGGAGCUUAAAAUGUACAUUUGUUGCGCAUUUUUAGACGUACUGAAAUUGUUUUUUUAUUCGUCUAUUCUUAAUGCCAAAAGCUUAUUAGAUUCUAGUACAUCGUGUGGUUUCGUGU
rnacentral:misc_RNA from 1 species